UGAACCCUCACAACCCCUCACAGGGUGGUGGAACUGACAAUCUCAGUUCCUUGGAUCUGGGUCUGUUGAAGCACAGAGGCUUGAGCUUGAACCCACAAAGGGCAACGGCUGGGUAGGCAGCUUGCUGCAACUAGUCGGGGCCUGGAUUCUUACUGGGAGCCAAUCGGAGUUUGGACUUGUGCCAAACCCAACCUUCAU
rnacentral:misc_RNA from 1 species